rnacentral:lncRNA from 1 species
CUCUAUGAAAUCAGUUGGUUUAAGAGGAGAUCUAGUGUUAUUGGUCGAGGUGUUGGGGGUGGGAGUUUCAAAAACGGUGGUGGGAUUAGUAAAGGUGGUAGCUUUGCAACUACGCACAAUGGCUGAUAGAUCCCAACCAUCAUUGUCCAUUGGAGAAAGGAUUGAUUUUUUAGUAUAUCUAAAAAUUAAUUCACUCAAAAUCACAACUAUUACUUUUUAAACAAUCAAAGGAUGUAUUAAAAUAAUAAAAUUAUAAACACAAGACGUAAUAAUAUAAAAAUAUAAAAAAUUAACAAAACUCAAAAUUCUAAGGAAAUAAUAAAACUAGAUGUUAUGAUGUUGAGAGA